UGAAAAGGAAUACCCCA
rnacentral:misc_RNA from 1 species